CUCCAGACUCCUACGGGAGGCAGCAGUGGGGAAUAUUGCACAAUGGGGGGAACCCUGAUGCAGCGACGCCGCGUGGGUGAAGGAGUAUUUCGGUAUGUAAAGCCCUAUCAGCAGGGAAGAACAAUGACGGUACCUGACUAAGAAGCACCGGCUAAAUACGUGCCAGCAGCCGCGGUAAUACGUAUGGUGCAAGCGUUAUCCGGAUUUACUGGGUGUAAAGGGAGCGCAGACGGCGAUGCAAGCCAGGAGUGAAAGCCCGGGGCCCAACCCCGGGACUGCUCUUGGAACUGCGUGGCUGGAGUGCAGGAGGGGCAGGCGGAAUUCCUGGUGUAGCGGUGAAAUGCGUAGAUAUCAGGAGGAACACCGGUGGCGAAGGCGGCCUGCUGGACUGCAACUGACGUUGAGGCCCGAAAGCGUGGGGAGCAAACAGGAUUAGAUACCCCAGUAUU
rnacentral:rRNA from 1 species